rnacentral:rRNA from 1 species
GACGAACGCUGGCGGCGUGCUUAACACAUGCAAGUCGAACGGAAAGGCCCUGCUUUUGUGGGGUGCUCGAGUGGCGAACGGGUGAGUAACACGUGAGUAACCUGCCCUUGACUUUGGGAUAACUUCAGGAAACUGGGGCUAAUACCGGAUAGGAGCUCCUGCUGCAUGGUGUGGGUUGGAAAGUUUCGGCGGUUGGGGAUGGACUCGCGGCUUAUCAGCUUGUUGGUGGGGUAGUGGCUUACCAAGGCUUUGACGGGUAGCCGGCCCGAGAGGGUGACCGGCCACAUUGGGACUGAGAUACGGCCCAGACUCCUACGGGAGGCAGCAGUGGGGAAUAUUGCACAAUGGGCGGAAGCCUGAUGCAGCAACGCCGCGUGCGGGAUGACGGCCUUCGGGUUGUAAACCGCUUUCGCCUGUGACGAAGCGUGAGUGACGGUAAUUGGUAAAGAAGCACCGGCUAACUACGUG